rnacentral:rRNA from 1 species
GACGCAUGCAGGCGGCCUGUUAAGUCAGAUGUAGAAAGGACCCGGGGACGUUAACCGUACCGGUAAGUUGCUAUUUAGUAAACGUAGGCGAGGCUAGAGUCUUGUAGAGGGGGGUAGGAAUUUCAGGUGUAGCGGUGAAAUGCGUAGAGAUCUGAAGGAAUACCAGUGGCGAAGGCGGCCCCCUGGACAAAGACUGACGCUCAGAUGCGAAAGCGUGGGGAGCAAACAGGAUUAGAUACCCUGGUAG